AGCCAAAUUAAGGUGAAACCGCGAAAGGCUCAUUAAAUCAGUUAGGUUCCUUAAUCGUACCCACAUUUACUUGGAUAACUGUGGUAAUUCUAGACUAAUACAUGCAAACAGAGCUCCGACCGGAGACGGAAGGAGCGCUUUUAUUAGAUCAAAACCAAUCGGUGGCGGGCUCGCUCGUCAUCGUACAUUUUGGUGACUCUGAAUAACUUUUUGCUGAUCGCAAGGUCUAGCACCGGCGACGCAUCUUUCAAAUGUCUGCCUUAUCAACUGUCGAUGGUAGGUUCUGCGCCUACCAUGGUUGUAACGGGUAACGGGGAAUCAGGGUUCGAUUCCGGAGAGGGAGCCUGAGAAACGGCUACCACAUCCAAGGAAGGCAGCAGGCGCGCAAAUUACCCACUCCCGGCACGGGGAGGUAGUGACGAAAAAUAACGAUACGGGACUCAUCCGAGGCCCCGUAAUCGGAAUGAGUACACUCUAAACCCUUUAACGAGGAUCAAUUGGAGGGCAAGUCUGGUGCCAGCAGCCGCGGUAAUUCCAGCUCCAAUAGCGUAUAUUAAAGUUGUUGCGGUUAAAAAGCUCGUAGUCGAAUCUGUGUCCCGCGCCGCCGGUUCAUCGCUCGCGGUGUUCAACUGGCGUGUCGCGGGACGUCCUGCCGGUGGGCUUAGCUCGUUCGCGGGCGGCCCAACUUGAAAUCCCACCGCGGUGCUCUUCACUGAGUGUCGAGGUGGGCCGGCACGUUUACUUUGAACAAAUUAGAGUGCUUAAAGCAGGCUAAAAUUUCGCCUGAAUACUGUGUGCAUGGAAUAAUGGAAUAGGACCUCGGUUCUAUUUUGUUGGUUUUCGGAACCCCGAGGUAAUGAUUAAUAGGAACGGAUGGGGGCAUUCGUAUUGCGACGUUAGAGGUGAAAUUCUUGGAUCGUCGCAAGACGGACAGAAGCGAAAGCAUUUGCCAAAAACGCUUUCAUUGAUCAAGAACGAAAGUUAGAGGUUCGAAGGCGAUCAGAUACCGCCCUAGUUCUAACCAUAAACGAUGCCAGCUAGCGAUCCGCCGACGUUCCUCCGAUGACUCGGCGGGCAGCUUCCGGGAAACCAAAGCUUUUGGGUUCCGGGGGAAGUAUGGUUGCAAAGCUGAAACUUAAAGGAAUUGACGGAAGGGCACCACCAGGAGUGGAGCCUGCGGCUUAAUUUGACUCAACACGGGAAACCUCACCAGGCCCGGACACCGGAAGGAUUGACAGAUUGAGAGCUCUUUCUUGAUUCGGUGGGUGGUGGUGCAUGGCCGUUCUUAGUUGGUGGAGCGAUUUGUCUGGUUAAUUCCGAUAACGAACGAGACUCUAGCCUGCUAACUAGGCGUAUUUUCGACAUCUCAAAGGCCCGCCGGCCCGGCGUUCGCGCCGCGGUCGCGCGCGGUUUUUACUGUCGGCGUACAAUCAAUUCUUCUUAGAGGGACAGGCGGCUUCUAGCCGCACGAGAUUGAGCAAUAACAGGUCUGUGAUGCCCUUAGAUGUUCUGGGCCGCACGCGCGCUACACUGAAGGAAUCAGCGUGUCUUCCCUGGCCGAGAGGCCCGGGUAACCCGCUGAACCUCCUUCGUGCUAGGGAUUGGGGCUUGCAAUUGUUCCCCAUGAACGAGGAAUUCCCAGUAAGCGCGAGUCAUAAGCUCGCGUUGAUUACGUCCCUGCCCUUUGUA
rnacentral:rRNA from 1 species